CUCCAAGCGCAGGCGCCCUGGCAUUAGGCAAGUCGUGCAGGGUAAUGAGGCCGUUGCAGAAAUCCAAAGCGGACCCCUAAGGGUGGUCCACAGGUGUGAUGCGGCCUGGGGUCCCUGGUCCAUGCCGCGGUGCAUCUUCAUCCUCGACUGCAUUCGCUGAAUGUCGACUUGCUGUUUUCUACAGCUGGGGUCAGCGGGCCCCCAGUUUGUGUGUUUUUGUUUUUGUUCCCCUCAUCCCCAGACUUAGCGUUCCUCCAGGGGGGACUACAUGGCUGCAUCGUCUUUUGGGUUAACUGCAGGAAAUUCUGUUCUAACCAGUGGUUCCUGAACCGGCGUGCUGGGUGGGGAGGCGCGCACCGAGCCCUGGACAAGGCUGUGGGGAGGGAAAGGGCUCACCCGAGCUCCCCACCUCAUCUCCUCCCCGUGCUGCUGGCAUCAACUGCAGUGGCAGGGUGGAUAUUUGAACCCAAGAAGUCUAGCUUCAGAUCUCCUAAUGCUUCUCUGUGGAGAUGAAGUAGACAGUGUUAGCGUGCAGGCGAAAGCAGACUUGGUUGUGCCAACAAGGGAAGCAUUUUUUUUUUUUCAGAGAAAGUAACAAACCUUUGUUCUAGGCACUUCGAGUCUGUUGUCCAAAUCUAUGAGGCCCCUAAAGGACACACUAUAAUUAGAACCAUUUCACAAACGACGAAAUGGGAGCACAAAGAGAAAAAAAAAAGACUUGUUCGGAGGUCGUCUCUGCUGACAACAAAAAAUGGACUUCUUUGAAUCUUGUCUUUGUUGUACUCCAAGGCUUGAAGCUUCACUUAUGAUUCACUUCAACUGUGACUGCUGUGCCCUGGCCAUGACAGAGGAAAGACCUGGGUACAAAGCACAUGAUGCUAAGGACCAACCUGUCUCUCAUUUGCCCUUGACUUCUACUUCCAGGAAUCAUGUCCCGAUUCUCAUGUCUCUGCUCUGGCUGUGUCCACUACCUGCUGAUCUCUGUUAAGACUUGUUCACAUUCUAAUGCUCAGCUGACUCCCUCCCCAAUGUGUGAGCUCCUGCAGCUCAAGAGGUCUUACUCUCCUCUCAUCCAGGGUCCCAGGCCUGUAACCCAAGUAGAUAAACAUCACAUGGUUGAAUUAAUGAAGAAAAGAUCUAAUCUUGAUAGAUUGCAGCUUUCUCAUCUGUAGGUGAAGGGUACAGGUGACCUCCAAGGUGCCUUUCAGCUCUGGCAUGAUGAUGCCAUGUACUCCAUGGUACAAAAUAUUCAUCUUAUGUUUUUUAAUGAUAGCUUACAUUGUAUGUACAGACACAACAUGAUGUUUUGAAGCAUAUACCCAUUGUGGAGUGACUAACAUAUAGCAUCUCACAUAGAUAAGGACACUUGACAGCCACUCACUGCUCAGUUGUUUGGUUUGUUGUUUGUUUUGAGACAGGGUUUCUCUGUGUAGCUCUGGCUGUCCUGUAACUCACUCUGUAGACCAGGCUGGCCUUGAACUCACAGAGAUCCACCUGCCUCAGCCUCCUGAGUGCUGGGAUUAAAGGCAUGUACCACCAUGCUCCGCCAUGUACCAGUUUUUUAAGAACAAAAAGCAUUGUUACUGAUCUUACAGUACAAUGGAUCUUGAAUGGCUUUAAACCUCAGCAAGCUCCUUCCACCUCAGCUAGCUCCUGAGGGUUGGGGUUAUGGGUGUGCACCCCCAGGCCCCUUUAAAAUUUGUAGCCUUUGACCAACAUCUGCCCCCCCCCCCACUUUGGCACAGAAGAUUAAGCAGCUGCUGUGUAGUUUGCAACAAACACCUGGUGGAUGUUCUGUAGCUUUAGUCCUUGUCAAACAUUCGUGAAAAUAAGCUGUUGGAAAUAGAAGGAACUAAAAAUAAGUAAAAAAUACAAUGUUUAGGAAGAAAUGCCAUAUUUUUAAAAAUAAAAAUUUUAUUUUUCU